UUUUUUUUUUUUUUUUUUUUUUUUUUGUUGUAAAAAUGGAUGAUGCUAACAUAAUGAUCAAUUGGGAUAUAUAUUGUAGUCAAUUGGAUAAAUUGAACACCACGAGAAUUUGGAAUUGGUGAAUCGCAAAGAUGUCAUUUUUCAUUUACAGAUAAAAAAUCACACAAAAAUAUUGUCCAACCUAAUAUAUUAUUCUCCAAGUAAAAUACAUUACAAAAAUUACAUAUUUGCUCUAGAGCCUUUCCCUUUCUUUAGUUAUUUAGAUAUUCAGUUCUCAGCUGCUUAUACGCAUUCUUUUCUUGUCUACUUUUCUUGUCUUCUUUUCUUAUUGACCUGAUUUUUCUCGCUGUUUAUAAUGUUUAUAGUAUCUUCACUGAGUUUAUCAUCUGUAUUACGUCUAAAGAAAGACUAAGAUUGAUAUUCAUAAUCAGCUAUUACAUUUAAGGUCUUAAAUAAGCCUUAAAGUAAGGCCUUAAAUAAGCACAUACAGCUACCCUAUUGAAAUGUUAUUUUAGGACGAUCUUAAAUAUAAGAACUGACUACGAAUAUCGGCCUAAGUAAUCUCUUAUAACUGACGAAGUUAUCUCUACAAAUUCGAUUAUUAUAUUAAUUGUACUUAUUAAAUAUAUGUGUCUUCCUAAUUCUAAUAGACAAUUGCUGAUACGCCUUUCCUCUGCUUUCAUAAUCCUUAUUUGAUUACAAUCAAUUAUUUCUCUUAAGAUAGUUUCUCUUAAGAUAGCUAUAGGAUAUUAAAGUUUUUCAUACAGAUGGAAUUUCAAGAUUACAUUUCUGAUUCGUAAUUGUUUCCUUCCGUAAUUGCACCUUGCUUGUUACUUUUUCAAGAAACUUAUUCUGAAUAUUUUUGCGCAAUCAAUCGAAAAAUCAUCUUUUACUACAUACAUGGUUAAUAUGAUUUUUUUAUCUCCUAAGAUUGUUCUGAUUUUUCUAAUGCAGGAAGGGAAAGAAAUGAAAAAAACUUGGUCGAAACUAUAAUAAAUAUUAGUACUUAAUUGAUAUUUAAUAAUAAAAUAUACAUAAAAUACAUAUAUUAAAAUAUACUGUUGUAGCCAUAGACCUGCAACUAGAUAUAUUCCACAUAGCAACAAGCGAUUUACGAAAAGGAUCUUUCGAAAGACUACGAAAGUGCAAAAUUGCAGAAACUGCGAUCAGUCUUUCGAAAGACCGCAGGAAUGCGUCGUAUAAAACGAUUGCGAAAAGUCGAUCAGUCGAUCAUAAAUUUCUUUUCCUUUUUACUGAUCGACCCGUGCGCAAUAUUGAUUUAGUAAUACCAUGCAAUCGAUCGAUGAACCCAAUCAGAACGCUGAUCAGGCAUUUAUUAUCAAUAUAAUAUAUAAUCAGUUACCUGAGGAUAGGAACGCGAAGUCAUACUAAGAAUUAACCAGAGCGGUAAUCUAUCACGAUCGCAGCCCGUCGCUGAGUUUCACGCGAGUUAAGAUAAGCAAGUAUCAUGUAAUGACCGUCGGCCUCCCACGCAACACGAGCCGUGCCGGAUCGCACAAAUUCGAGUGCGAGAGUAAAUAUUGUAAAUCGCUGUCAGACGCUGUCAAGUUAUAAAACAUUGUAGCCCUAAAACAUUUGCAAACAUUGUGCAAUUAACCUAAUAAAUUUCUCAGUUUAUCAAUAAAGUGAGUGUACGUGAUUUUGAAGAGAACCCUUUACUCAACGAUCCUGCUCGAGGAUUCAACUCUUCAGGCUUAGCAAACUCGACUUUCCUAGAUAAUAAGUUCGUGUCCAUCCGGAGUAUAACAAUUUGAUGGCAACGGUGGGAUUGUCAAAACCAUCCCCAAGAUCACUAACUUACGAGGAUCACUGACUAAGCCAGCAGAAUCAAAGGUAACAGACUAAAGGCUGCAGACAGAAGAAACAAUUUUUUCUUUUCACCCUCAAAUCGAAAUUUCAAGACCUGUGGAAAACAGGCGGACGGAGAAGGCCCCGUCAGAAAACAAGUCGCCCACAAAAUUGUGCCAGAGUAGUGAAAAUUCAGCAGAGUGCCGAUUUAAGAUAGAAAGAAUGUCCAGUGGCAGCGAAGCAACGAUCGGAGUCCCACGAGCACCGAACGCCAGCCAGCGUCGUCCAUGUACAUCGACAUCAGGUAGCAAGGACACCUCAUCGACAUGCACUACUACCAGCGUAGUUAGCCGACACGCCGGUACAGACAACAAUGACCAUGCGAGCGAUCAUAUGUCUACUAAUGUGAGUCUGAAAUAAAUUUUAUAUGUAUGCGAAUGCCUAGAGCGAGGGACAUAGCUAAACCGGCGAUCUGGCCAAAACCAUGGCUCUCCAAUAAAUUAGCUAGGAGCGCGAAUACCGUCUCAGCGAUAGAUACCACCAAGAGCGCAUUAUUAGAUAUACGUAAUUGCAUACGCCGAGUUUUAGAAUAUUCUCCUGACAGCGAUAUGUCUAUGUAAUAACCGAACGCGAAUUCCCAUGCGACGCAAACGAUUUCAGCCUACUCAUGCUAAACGAUAUCGAUUCCCACAUUGACACACACGUACAGUCACGACGCUCUCACAGACUUCACGACGGCAGCAUAUUUAGUUCAAACGAUAUAUACCAAGCACUGAUAAGUGAAAUGGCAAAUCCUUCGGCAACCAAUUCUCUAAACCUCCCGACCGAAGAAAUUGAGAAUGAAAUACGAAAUUUAAGACAUACCAUCGACGAAUCACAUUUAAUGCGCCAUAAAAUGCGUUGCUAUGCGAACUUCUGCAUGAAAUACGCGAAUUACGCAUACAGUUUACAGAAUAAAAUGGAAUGCGCGACUGCCCGACGAAUGAAACAGGGCCUCGCAAGAUUGUCAUCCACAUCCAUUAGACUUCACUUACGAUCGCUCAUUUUAAGAUGUAAGAAACCAAUUCGAAAACUCGCUAGUGUUUUUAACGCUGAAGGACGCAUGUAAUAUGAUCCCGAAUACAGAGAUCGACGACACCUCACGUAGUAGAGUAUAUAAGUUUCUCAAUGUCAAUACAUACGCGAUAUACACCCUGCGGAUGAACACAUUACUUGAAACCAUCCUUUGCACCAAAUUUAAGGGCAAGGUUAUGAUGGACUUCCGUACGCGAGAUAUAGUAAACUUUGAGCAAUUAAAGCGAGAAUUAGAAAAAAAAUACUUGAGCAAACGGAGCAUCAUUUGCAACUUGAAUUUAAUUCGCUUAAGCAAAAACCGAAUGAGAGCGCGCAAGAAUUCGGCAGACGAAUAGAUAACGUAAACAUGGAACUACGAAUCCAUGGAAGAAGACAAGAACCACACUGUCGAACAACAACGUGCGAUUUUAGAAAACAUAAAAGAGCAGGCGUUACAUAAUUACCAGAAUGGAUUACACGAGGACAUUAAAUUAAUCGCGCGAUCGCAACGAUAUAAAACAAAGAAGCAAUCGGGGGCUAGUGCAGAGGAGAAAACGCGAGGGUCCAGCACACGAGUGCCCGCAUAUAGAAGCCGAAAUAUAUAUAAUUCUAACACGACACAAACUCGAAGCCCGCGUUGCAACAAAUGCGAAAAAAUCGAUUACAGGCGCGAUUGCAGGAUUAGCCAUUUUGCAAAUAAAUUUACUUUGUCUAAGAAGAGCAAUUCCACGUAAACGCGAUAAAAAAACAAUGUAGUUAUUGCAAAAAGAUAGGGCAUUUGCGCCAGAAAUGGUGGAUAUUAAACGGAAAACCGAAAAAAGUAAUAGAAAUACAUCAGAAAAAAAUUCUUUCAAUUCGCGAAAAAAAAAGUACGUGAAAAAUUUGAAAAAUAAGACGAAACCGACGAAAGUAAAUCGACCUCCCCGUGUUCCGCAUCAGAGUAUCGCGUGACAUACAUCAAAGGACAUCGCUCGUUAACACCGGAUUAAACGCGAUCACAUUACCUGUUGCAGAAGCCAAAAGUAGAAAAAUGAACUUCUUAUUCGAUACGGGCGCAUCAGCGACGAUAAUAAAAUUGAAAUAUUUAUUAGACGUUCUAAUUUAAAAAAAUGAAAAAAUUAAAUUAACCGGCAGGACAUGAAAUAAUAACACUAGGUAGAACACAUUACAAUCGAGCUAUCUCGAAAAAAGAUACAACACCCGGUAUAUAUGGUGUGAGAUAAUGCACUAAUGGAAUAUGACGCAAUCUUAGGAGCGGACUUCAUUUGGCGAUAUAUAAUCAUUUGAUAGUAAGACAAAGUCUGUACAAUUCAGAAAUACAAAUUUCAAGCUACACAGGCGUGUGACCUUAGGACCGCACAGUGAAACAAUCGUACAAGUCACGACAAAUCAAAACAAAAUCAAAUUAAUGAAACCGGAAGAAAUGAUAGCUGGAAUUUUUAUCGGAUGUUUUCUAGUCGAACCAUAAAAUUAUACAUGUCCAAUUAGCAUACUAAAUGUAACAGAAGAAAAAAUCAUUCAAGUAUCGGAUUAGAAGCUAGAUGGAAAAACGCAUAACGCAAGAGUCUGUAAACGCAAUACAGACAAGGAGCAAAAAUACAAAAAUAAUCUCUCGGGAAGAACGACGAAUACAGAAUUCGUUACACAUAGAGCAUUUAAAUCAGGAAGAACAGAAAUCUCUAUUAGAAUUAUGUAUGAAUACAAUGAUGUAUUUCACUUAGAAGGAGACACAUUAACGCACAACAAAAAAAGCACGAGAUAUCAGUACGAACAGAUUCGUACGCCCUUACCGUUUUACUCAUUUUUUAAAAGCAAAAACGAAAUAAAUAGUCCAAAAAACAAAUCCAAGAAAUGCUAGAGCACAUUAUCAGACCAAAUGUCAGCCAGCGCAUCAUUAUUAGUCGUGCCGAAAAAGACAGAUGCUUCAGAUAAAAUGAAAUUGUGAUUGAUUUUAGAAAAUUGAAUGGUCUCACAAUCGGAGACUCAUUCCCGUUGCCCAACAUAACGGAUAUACUCGAUCAGUUCGGCAACGCGAAAUAUUUCAUGACAUUAGAUCUCGCAUCAGGUUACUACCUAGAUAUCAAUGGCGAAGCGAGAUAAAAAUAAAAUUCUCACAUUCUCUACACCAUACAGCCAAUUUAAUAGAAUGCCGUUUGAUUUGAAAAACGCACCUAUGACUUUUCAACGCCUAAUGAACUCAAUCUUAACGGAUUUACAAGGGAUUAAAUGUCUAGUAUAUCUCGAUGGCAUUGUAAUAUACGGUCCUAGUCUUAAGGAACAUAACAAAAGAUUAGAACAAGUUCUCCGAAAAUUAAGAGAAAACAAUCUAAAACUCCAACCAGACAAGUGCGAAUUCUUACGGAAAGAAAUAGUUUAUUUAGGACAUAUAAUUACAGAAAAUGGAAUUUCACCAGAUCCAUCAAAACUACAUGCCAUAAAAAAGGAUUUUUCUCCAAAAAGGUAAAGGACAAGCAUUCAUUAGACUAGCUGGAUACUAUAGAAAAUUUAUUUUACUAUAGAAGAUACUAUAGAAGAUUUCUCACGAAUCGCUAAAUCGUUAACGAAACUCACAAAGAAA
rnacentral:lncRNA from 1 species